GCACUGCUGAGGAGUCCUACGAUAAGACGAAACGGCCGUCCAAUGU
rfam:Schistosoma margrebowiei strain Zambia genome assembly, scaffold: SMRZ_contig0005006